CAUUCGCCACGGUGCGCCAAAACAAGAAGCGAUUCAAUGACGAUUCAGUAUGUCGGUAGAACUUUAGCAAUGCGAUUGUGAAGAAGGUAGUCUAUGGAAAAGCUAUCCGUUAGUUAAAGAAACGGAAAACUUAAAUUAAAUAAGCGAUCAAAGAGCAUAGUGGAUUUCAUAUAAUAAGCCAAGUACAAUUUGUACCGGUGUGACUGAGGGUGUACUACAGUAAAACUGAAUCCAACAAAGCAGUCAAAUAUAGUUAAUAAUAAGAUAUCCUGAAAGGUACAAACCUAUACACGAGAUUCUUCAUAAGUAAAAACAAACAAGCAGAGAUUCUCAUAUAUGGCACUUACAUGCCCAAAAGUGAUUACGGCACACAAAUCGGAGCAAA